GCUCAUCCAUGGCGGUCCCGGCGAUCAGAGUCGCGGCUCUCGCUCGGUCGCCACUCCUUUUCAACAACUCUCAGCUGCCGAGAACAGCAGUUCGGCUGAGUAAGUCUGGUGGACGGAUGAGGAGAGGCUCCGUUGUUGCCGUCUAUUCGCGAUCACAGGACAUGUCUACUCGAAUCCAAGACAAUAUUGAAAACCUGCCGAAGUUGGUGGAAGAUAUCAUCCAGACUUCAAUUAGCACAGGGCCUCGGGGUGCCUUGCGGCUAGCUCAGGGAAUCCAAGCUGUUAUUGGGGUUGGUGGAGAGUGGCUGAAUGAUGUCUCAAAGGCGGCAAAUACAUCUUCAGGGAUUCCAACUCAAGUGCAGCUUGGAUUACUUUCCCCUUUAUAUCUGAGGAAAUUAUUUGAACGCAUGGGAGCAACUUAUAUCAAGUUAGGCCAGCUCAUUGCUUCUGCGCCAACACUUUUCCCAGCAGAAUAUGUUGAGGAGUUUCAGAACUGCUUUGACCGGGCUCCAGCUGUUCCUUUCACAGAAAUUGAAGCUAUA
rnacentral:misc_RNA from 1 species